GGAUAAGCCUGGGAAACUGGGUCUAAUACCGAAUAUGACCAUGCGCCUCCUGGUGUGUGGUGGAAAGCUUUUGCGGUGUGGGAUGGGCCCGCGGCCUAUCAGCUUGUUGGUGGGGUAAUGGCCUACCAAGGCGACGACGGGUAGCCGGCCUGAGAGGGUGACCGGCCACACUGGGACUGAGAUACGGCCCAGACUCCUACGGGAGGCAGCAGUGGGGAAUAUUGCACAAUGGGCGCAAGCCUGAUGCAGCGACGCCGCGUGAGGGAUGACGGCCUUCGGGUUGUAAACCUCUUUCAGCACAGACGAAGCGCAAGUGACGGUAUGUGCAGAAGAAGGACCGGCCAACUACGUGCCAGCAGCCGCGGUAAUACGUAGGGUCCGAGCGUUGUCCGGAAUUACUGGGCGUAAAGAGCUCGUAGGUGGUUUGUCGCGUUGUUCGUGAAAACUCACAGCUUAACUGUGGGCGUGCGGGCGAUACGGGCAGACUUGAGUACUGCAGGGGAGACUGGAAUUCCUGGUGUAGCGGUGGAAUGCGCAGAUAUCAGGAGGAACACCGGUGGCGAAGGCGGGUCUCUGGGCAGUAACUGACGCUGAGGAGCGAAAGCGUGGGGAGCGAACAGGAUUAGAUACCCUGGUAGUCCACGCCGUAAACGGUGGGUACUAGGUGUGGGUUUCCUUCCUUGGGAUCCGUGCCGUAGCUAACGCAUUAAGUACCCCGCCUGGGGAGUACGGCCGCAAGGCUAAAACUCAAAGAAAUUGACGGGGGCCCGCACAAGCGGCGGAGCAUGUGGAUUAAUUCGAUGCAACGCGAAGAACCUUACCUGGGUUUGACAUGCACAGGACGACUGCAGAGAUGUGGUUUCCCUUGUGGCCUGUGUGCAGGUGGUGCAUGGCUGUCGUCAGCUCGUGUCGUGAGAUGUUGGGUUAAGUCCCGCAACGAGCGCAACCCUU
rnacentral:rRNA from 1 species